rnacentral:rRNA from 1 species
UACGUAGGGAGCAAGCGUUGUCCGGAAUCAUUGGGCGUAAAGAGCGCGUAGGUGGCUUUAUAAGUCCGUUGCGAAAGUCAAAGGCUCAACCUUUGAAAGCCGAUGGAUACUGUGAAGCUAGAGUACGGAAGAGGCGAGUGGAAUUCCUGGUGUAGCGGUGGAAUGCGCAGAUAUCAGGAGGAACACCAAUAGCGAAGGCAGCUCGCUGGGACGUUACUGACACUGAGGCGCGAAAGCGUGGGGAGCGAACAGG